GACGAACCGUGCGAACGUUAUUCGGAAUCACUGGGCUUAAAGCGCGUGUAGGCGGGAGGGCACGUCCGUCGCUGAAAUCCCCCGGCUCAACCGGGGAACGGGCGCGGAUACGACCUUCCUGGAGGGGCGUAGGGGGACCUGGAACUUCCGGUGGAGCGGUGAAAUGCGUUGAGAUCGGAAGGAACGCCCGUGGCGAAAGCGAGGUCCUGGACGCCUACUGACGCUGAGACGCGAAAGCCAGGGGAGCAAACAGG
rnacentral:rRNA from 1 species